AAUGGCCUAACGGCUGAACCAGCAACUUGGAGGAAUGUAUAGCGAAAGCUAAUCCACUUAAUUGUGAUAUCGGUUAAAUCGAAUAAAAUUCUUGGCAGAUAAUGAUAAUGACAUUAUUUGUUGAUAUGUCUUGACCAAAAUACGUGCCAGCAGUCGCGGUAAUACGUAGAAGACAAGUGUUAUUCAUCAUUAGUGGGUUUAAAGGGUACCUAGACAGUAUAUCAAGCCUUCUGGUACUAAUAUACUAGAGUUACUUAUGAGGGAGCUUCAAGGUACUGGUGUGUGUAGAGAUAGAAUUCUUUGAUACCUUUAUUCGCAAGAUACAGAUGGCACAGCCAAAGGCGAAAGCAUCUUCCUAUGGGAUAGCUUCAUAUAACAAAUAGGAUUAGAGACCCUAGUAGUUGAAUGCGGAAAAUGGUGAGUGUCAUAGGUUAAUUUAUCCUAUAAAUGAUAGUGUAAGCACUCCACCUCAAGAGUAAUUUGGCAACAUUGGAACUGAAAUCAUUAGACCGUAUCUGAAACCAGUAGUGAAGUAUGUUGUUUAAUUUGAUAAUCCGCAAAAAACCUUACCAUGAAUAACUACAAGCGUUGCACGGCUGUCUUCAGUUAAUGUCGUGAGAUUUUGGUUAGUUCCAUUCAAUUAACGUAAACCCUUGCUUUAUUUUUUAUAUAAAGUAGUCCUCCAAUAUAUAGGAUCAGGUGAUAGGGAUCAAGACAAGUCAUCAUGGCCUUAAUGUA
rnacentral:rRNA from 1 species